GUAACUGUGUGCCUGCGAGCGGCGGUAUAGAAGAGGGGGGAAGCGUGGGUGGGAAGUACUGGGCGGAAAGGGCGCGUAGGCGGCCUUCUAAGUCGAACGUUAAAUCCCCGGGCUCAACCCGGGAACUGCGUCCGAUACUGUAAGGCUUGAAGCCGGGAGAGGGAUGCGGAAUUCCAGGUGUAGCGGUGAAAUGCGUAGAUAUCUGGAGGAACACCGGUGGCGAAGGCGGCAUCCUGGACCGGCAUUGACGCUGAGGCGCGAAAGCCAGGGGAGCAAACGGGAUUAGAUACCCGUGUAGUC
rnacentral:rRNA from 1 species